AAAUUGAAGAGUUUGAUCAUGGCUCAGAUUGAACGCUGGCGGCAGGCCUAACACAUGCAAGUCGAGCGGAAACGACACUAACAAUCCUUCGGGUGCGUUAAUGGGCGUCGAGCGGCGGACGGGUGAGUAAUGCCUAGGAAAUUGCCUUGAUGUGGGGGAUAACCAUUGGAAACGAUGGCUAAUACCGCAUAAUGCCUACGGGCCAAAGAGGGGGACCUUCGGGCCUCUCGCGUCAAGAUAUGCCUAGGUGGGAUUAGCUAGUUGGUGAGGUAAUGGCUCACCAAGGCGACGAUCCCUAGCUGGUCUGAGAGGAUGAUCAGACACACUGGAACUGAGACACGGUCCAGACUCCUACGGGAGGCAGCAGUGGGGAAUAUUGCACAAUGGGCGAAAGCCUGAUG
rnacentral:rRNA from 1 species